rnacentral:ncRNA from 1 species
AAAAAAUAAUUAUUUAUAGUUAAAUUAAUUUAUUUAUAAUUUAUUUUAAAUAUAAAUUUUAGUGUAAUUAUUUAAUUAUUUAAAUAAUAAUUAUUUUUAUUUUUUAUAUUAAUUAAUAUUAAUUAAUUUAAGAAAUUAUGAUUUAGUAAUAUUAAAAUUAAUAACUAAAUUUCUAAAUUUGUGCCAGCAGUUGCGAAAUAUUAAAAUAAAUUUUAUUGAAAAAAUAAUAAAUAAAUAUUAUAUAAAUUUAAAAAUAAAAAUAAUAAGUAAAAUUAAAUUUUAAUUAAAAAUUUUAUUUUAUUAUUUAAUAAAAUUUAUUAAUAAACUAGGAUUAGAUACCCUAUUAUUAAAAAAUAAUUAUGAUAUUCAGAGUAGUAAUUUAUUUAUUUGAAAUUUAAAUAAUUUGGCGGUAUUUUAAUUUGUUUAGAGGAAUUUGUUAAUUAAUUGAUAAUCCACGAAUAAAUUUACUUAAUUUAAAAAUUUAUAUAUCGUUGUUAUAAAAAUAUUUUUAAAGAAUUUUGAUAAUAUUUUAUAAUUUUAAUAAUAAAUUAAAUCAGAUCAAGAUGUAGUUUAUAAUUAAGUUUAUAAUGAAUUACAAUAAAUUUAUUUAAAUGAAUAUUUAUAUGGAAUGAUAAAUUUGAAAUUGGAUUUAAAUGUAAUUUUUUAAAAUUUUUAAAAAUGAUUGAAAAUUAAAAUAUGUACAUAUUGCCCGUCACUUUCAUUUAUAAAUUGAAAUAAGUCGUAACAAAGUAGAGGUACUGGAAAGUGUUUCUAGAUUGAU